rnacentral:rRNA from 1 species
UGAGGAAUAUUGGGCAAUGCCCGCAAGGGUGACCCAGCAACGCCGCGUGGAGGAUGAAUGUCGUAAGAUUGUAAACUCCUGUUAGAGGGGAAGAAUAGUACCGGUUGGACCGGUAUAUGACUGUACCCUCAGAGAAAGCCCCGGCUAACUCCGUGCCAGCAGCCGCGGUAAUACGGAGGGGGCUAGCGUUGUUCGGAAUUACUGGGCGUAAAGCGUACGUAGGCGGAUGCGCAAGUUGGGGGUGAAAUCCCGGGGCUUAACCUCGGAAUUGCCCUCAAAACUGCACGUCUUGAGACCGAGAGAGGUCAGGGGAAUUCCUAGUGUAGAGGUGAAAUUCGUAGAUAUUAGGAAGAACACCAGUGGCGAAGGCGCCUUACUGGCUCGGUACUGACGCUGAGGUACGAAAGCGUGGGGAGCAAACA